rnacentral:tRNA from 1 species
UAGAUAAAUGCUCGCUGGUUUGGGCGCUUAGCUGUUAACUAAGAGUUUAAGGGAUCGAGGCCCUUUUAUCUAG